AGCAGACAGCCGCACACCCGGCCGCGGGCCUUGGCUCUCUCCCCGCCGAUGCCGGCGCCCGAACCCCGCAUCCCCACACGCCGCCCGUAGGGAGACAAGAUGGCGCCUGUCCCACGCCGGCGGCCUCGCUCUCCCCCACUCCAGGGCUGCCCGCCGCAGAAAAUAAAAUAUCCUCUUGAUCUCUCCUGCCACGCAGUGGCUGCUGUGGAGAACUGUCGGGAAACCGCGUGUUAGGCCUCGGAUAAAUCGGGAGGUUUGAGGGCAGAUUGAGUUCCCCCGCCCUAUUGCGGUUUGUUCGAAGUACAAACCCACCCACCCCCGCUGCUUUCUCAGCUCCGGCUCCAUCCAGGAGCGCACAUCGACAUGCUCCGGAGCCAGUUCACAGGUUGUUCCCAAGCUCCUCGGCUGUUCUUUUUUUUUUUUUUUUUUUUUUUUUUUGGGGGGAAAUAAACACUAAGAUUGAUGAGUUUGAUUUAUUCUAACACCAUUAGUAUCUGUUAAAUUGAGCAAGGGGCCAGAGCCGCAUUGGAAGCCAGGAGGGCUGGGGAUGGUCUGAGGCGGCAGGACCAGGGGUGGCCCACAGAGUGCUGCAUGCAUCAGGGCUACCAAACCCAUCUCCGCUCCUUCAGCGGUCCUGUGCCCCCUCACAGUGGUGCUGAGCAGCACUGGGCUCUUUGGGCUUAGCAAGUGCUUGUUAGCUCCAGUCUGACAUGCACAAUGGCAUUGCAUAGUACUGACACCGCUCUAGGGACUGCCACAGUUGCAAGCAGAAACAAUCGCUAUCAGGGAGUCGUCGACCAACAAAAGCAAUUCCUAUAGAUGUCAUCCAUGUUUAGUGAAUAGAGUGCAUGGCUGGAUGCUGAUGGAUUGACCAUGAGUGGUCAACUUUUGUUAGACAACUGGUCCUAAAGAAGCACACAACAGUGAGAAUUACCAAUUACAGAGAAUGAUCGUUUCGCUGUGCAGCGCCGCCUAGUGCACAGACUUGCUGCUGCAUCCAGGGCCAGCUGCGACGCUUGGCACGGCUGGGAGGGAUGAGGAGCCUUUCCCGGAUAGCUCAUGGCAAGCAACGUUACUCAGAUCUUGAGAAAAAGAAGCUUUUUUAUUUCCAGCUUUCCUUCUCCAACAUGUGCAGUAUUUGCCUUCUCCUGACUUUAAAUUCAUUCCUAGCUUAAGUAUAGUCUACUCUUACUUUCUUGGUGGUCUGUAUAAUAAGCUGCAGGGCCAUUAGGCUACUACCUGUUAAUGCUUAAUGUGUUGUAUUUCUUCAGCACAAGUCCAUGGUUACUGUUUACAGUAUAGGAGGCCACAAACUGGAAACCCACAUUGCCAAGGUUUGUAUUUCCAAACACCAGAUUUUUGCCACGUGGAAUGCUUUUUCACAUAGUAAUUUCUCUCUGUUUAUGGAAAUGAGGUAUGUAUAAAAAGAAAGUAAUUUUGAAUUUAAGUGUAACAUAACCUUUUCCUUUUUUUUUCCCUUAUGUAGUAAAGAUGUAAGUGGUCAAAAUCCAAAACUGUUAAAACUGUUUUGGCAAAGUUUCAGAGGAACUUACAGAGAAACCAAGCUCAAAAUUAUUAAUUUCACGCAUUUUCAAUUACUGGACACACUGUUUUGCACGGUGUGUACUAUUUCUAUCAGUGGUCUCAUUUAAAUUGCAAAAAUUUCUAAAAUAAUAGUUAUUCACCAUCAAUAACAUCAGUAGAAAUUGAUCUUUAGUGUGGAGAUCUUUCAUUUUAGGCUUUUGUAGAGACUACUGAUGAAGCUGUCUGUAAAUCAGUUUUUGUUACAAAGAAAUCUCAAAUCAGCAGGGAGAGGUUUCUUUAUAAAUGACAUCCUGCGUCCAGCCAGUUUAGUCUAUGCACAGUUGUUUACAGACAAUUAUGAAAAUAAAUGGCACUUUUACACUUGAUGAAGUAGACAGGUAGUCUUUUCAGAAAAUAUUAAUUAACUAAAAAGCAAUCUCUGCAGUGGCUCUGCCUCUAAGUAUAUGUAAUGAUUCUGAGUGCUAUUUAUUUAACAGGUGUGGCUAUCUAGUGAUGGAGGCAAUUGUUUUCAAUCAUUAAAUCUUGAAGAUGAAAAAAUUGUAAAAGCAAAUACGUGUGUACAGUCAUUCAGUCACCUUCAUGAGUGAUAAGGGAAGUCUUUUCUUCCCAAAGGCAGGUGCAGAAUUUAAACCUACUUUUGCCAUGAAGUAUGGCAUGACAGCUACACGAAAAAGCUUCUGCAUUAGCCAAUCUUCACACAUACUUUGUUAAUAUUGUUUUAUCAUAAACAUGUUCUCUACAGAAACAUUAAUUCUUCCUGUUAGUUAGCUCUGAGCAAAAUUCCACGUUAGAAUACUUAAUAAAGAGAGAGGGUUUGUAGAAAGCAGUAGUAAUGUGCUUAUUUAGUUGUGUAGUUGGCAGAAUCCAGCACAAUCCUUCACCCAGUUGAAGAGCAGCAGGCUCCAGACAAAGCAUUAUGGUGAUACCGACACACAAACAAGGAAAGUGUAGUCUGUGACCAUGCUAAGCAUGAGCAGUUAUGCUUCAUUACUUGCUGAGAGGUCAUCAAAGGACAUAGCAAAUUCAUCAGUCAUAUAACAUAUAUUCCUUGUUCAUCUGCUACAGAAUGCAGAUGGCUUUAAUUAAAUAACUCAUAUAUUGUUACUGUAUGGAUUGAAUCUUGACAGAGAGAUUCUCUCCCCUUCCAGUUGUUGCAGUGUGCUAAAUAUAACAUACUAGCAUAACAUUGGCUUAUAUAGAUGAUAUCAGGAAAGUAUAGAUUUAAUUCAGCUGUAUUUUAAUGAAUCUCUUCACUUGACAAAAAGUAGCCUGUAUAAGGAGAGAACUCUUUAGAAGACACUUUCUGUGACAGAACAGUGAUUCACCAAUCCAAGAACUGAUUUUAAUUAAAUGUUUUGGUACUAUGUUUUGCCAUGAAGGAGAAUAAAAAGUGUCAUUUUUGUGUGAUGAAAGCUCUGUGAGAGACAAAAUCCCUUUGGCUAACUGCACCUCUACUAUACAAAGAAACCUAUCAAGUUCAACGUACAUACAUAAAUUUCACUGAGGGAGGUGUGUACUGAUACCUUAGGAAGAAGGAAAUUGAGUACAGAAGAUUAUUGAAAUCAAUGGGAAUUUUACCAUUACUUUUGCCCUAUGUUUUCCAGUCUAUAGAUAAGUAUAUAGAUACAAAGCCCUUUAUUCUUGUAGAACCUUCCUGAAUUUAUUACAUGUAAGUCUCCACUCCAAUGACCACUGCAGGAUAAUGUACAUGGUAUCUUUUCAAGUAUCUUGGGAAAAAAACAUUCUGUUUUGUUAACUUGCCUAUUUGCUUUGAAAAGAUUUUUUUCUUCCCCUUGCCAGUUUGCUCUGAAAGUGUUUCUUUAGGUGUGUGCCAAAGCAAGAGAUCUGACUGAAGCACUGAACCUCAGUUCCACUGUGUAUCAUCUUAUGCGACACAACUUUUGCUUCUCUUCAUGUGAUUAUUUAUUUCUAAUUUGUUUCCUGUAUUUCAGUUUUGUGUGUUUGGAAACAUUUGCCAGAUCUGAGACUAACAGCAAGUGUUGUCAGUUUGUACUGUGAUCAUUUAGGAGCUUUGUAUCUAACUACUUUAAGUCAAAAUCUAGUAGGCUGGAAAUUAAGAAGUUAAAUGUUUUAAAGGCAGUGUAGGUCAGCUGUCAAAAAAAUUCAAGUAAGUGUUGUAAAAUAUCCUUUAAAUCUGCAAGGAAGUUUGCUUGUCAUUGUACACAACUUCAAGAAGAUUUGAUUUCUGCAAGGAAUUGAAUGAAAAAUAUCUUUAUUGUAUGAAGAAAUGCCAGACUAUUGCAUAUAUACAGCUGUAUGUACAUUUUAAAUGUAUAAGCUGGACUGUGUGACAACAGUAAUGCAGUCAGAGCAAAAUUCAGGUAAGAGAUAGCUAUGAAUCCUUCAGUACCAGUCCCCAUUUUAUCACAAAGAGAAUGAUUUGACCUCUGUAUUUAGAGCCCCUCCUCAGUUCCCUCCAAACUGAGUGUUCUUGAAAAGGCUUUUUCAUCCAGCUGGUGCGGCCAGGUUACCCUUGCCUGAUGCAGAGGGCUUUGUGCAUUCACCUCACCCUUGGAACACAGCUCAGUAUUGCUGCAUAGGCAGACAGUACUGUACAUGAAAAAUUACACUUCUGACUUACACCUUUUCACUUACCACUUUGAAUUUCACCUGCUCUUUCAUAAUCAGUCUUAUUAUACCAUGACAUCCCUCUGCAACUCUUCAUAGGCAAACACAGUCUGUACUCUGCUUAGAAUCAUUAGUGACAUUCAUCACCUUAUUUUUCAUUCCUUUCCAAUUCAGUUUUGAAUCAUUUGAAAACAAAGAUACAGAAUGCAAGGACUGGGGUACUGUACAAGUCACCUCUCUCCCAUGAGAUGCAGUGCUACUACCUGUACUGGCAUAGGUAAAUCCUCUUUGCAUACUUUGUUCCUGACAGUAGUGUUCUGCUGACAACAGCAUGGUCAGAAUAUUACACCUACUGAAUCAAUUUACACAGUACUAGCCAUUAUCCAGUAAUACAAUCCUUUUGUACCACCUACUACUCAUUUUUGCUAACAAUUUAAAUGAUCAGUUAGAAAACAUUCUAAUACCUUUGAUGCUAUUUUGAGGCUUUUGACAAUAGUCACACAAUCCAGCUAGUCCUUUGCUAUAAAAAAGAAAUACUUAUGGUAUUAUAGAUUCUACCAUCAAGAUCAAGUAAAGGAAAUGUUGAAAAGGAUGCCCAAAAAGGUGUUUAUGGACACCAUGUCCAUUACAAUGUGA